rnacentral:rRNA from 1 species
UCAAGCAGAAAGGGCACAGGGCGGAUGCCUUGGCACUAAGGGCCGAAGAAAGACGUGAUAAGCUGCGAUAAGCUUCGGGGAGGGGCAAAUAUCCAUUGAUCCGGAGAUUUCUGAAUGGGGAAACCCACAUGAGCAAACCUCAUGUAUCCAUACGCCAAUCCAUAACGUAUGGAGGGGAACCCGGGGAACUGAAACAUCUAAGUACCCGGAGGAAAAGAAAGAAAACUCGAUUCCGUAAGUAGCGGCGAGCGAACGCGGAAGAGCCUAAACCAGGUCGCGUGCGAUCUGGGGUUACGGACUGCAUUUAAGAUUCUGUGAUGUUAGUAGAACGGUUUUGGGAAAGCCGGCCGGAGAGGGUGAAAGCCCCGUACACGAAAACAGAGCAGACUGAGCAGGAUCCAGAGUACCGCGGGACACGAGAAACCCUGCGGGAAGUCAGGGGGACCACCCCCUAAGGCUAAAUACCACUUAGUGACCGAUAGCGCAUAGUACUGUGAAGGAAAGGUGAAAAGGACCCCGGGAGGGGAGUGAAAGAGAACCUGAAACCCUGUGUCUACAAGCUGUGGGAGUGCUUUACAUGCACGACCGCGUACUUUUUGUAGAACGGUCCGGCGAGUUGCGCACACUGGCAAGGUUAAGGGAUGAAGUCCCGGAGCCGAAGGGAAACCAAGUCUUAAGAGGGCCAGAGUCAGUGUGGGCAGACCCGAAACCGGGUGAUCUAUCCAUGUCCAGGUUGAAGCUGCCGUAAGAGGCAGUGGAGGACCGAACCCACAUCCGUUGAAAAGGGUGGGGAUGAGGUGUGGAUAGGGGAGAAAUUCCAAUCGAACCCGGAGAUAGCUGGUUCUCCUCGAAAUAGCUUUAGGGCUAGCCUUGGUAUAGAUUUGCGGAGGUAGAGCACUGAAUUUCCUAGGGGGCGUCAAAGCCUACCGAAGAAUAUCAAACUCCGAAUGCCGCGUAAUCGAUUGCCGGGAGUCAGACUACACGAGAUAAGUUGGGUGGUCAAAAGGGAAAGAGCCCAGACCUUCAGUUAAGGUCCCAAAGUAUGCGUUAAGUGGAAAAGGAUGUGGGAUUUCGAAGACAACCAGGAUGUUGGCUCAGAAGCAGCCAUCCAUUCAAAGAGUGCGUAAUAGCUCACUGGUCGAGAGGUCCUGCGCCGAAAAUGUCCGGGGCUGAAACGCAUCACCGAAACUAAGGAAUCUGUUUACAGAUUGGUAGAGGAGCAUUGCAUACGGGAAGAAGCAGUACCGGUAAGGAGCUGUGGACUGUAUGGAAGAGAGAAUGCCGGAAUGAGUAGCGAGAUAGAGGUGGGAAUCCUCUAGGCCGAAUAUCCAAGGUUUCCAGGGUAAAGCUGAUCUGCCCUGGGUAAGUCGGGGCCUAAGGCGAGGACGAGAGUCGUAGCCGAUGGACAACAGGUGGAGAUUCCUGUACUAUGAUAUGACAGAACUGUGGGGACACGUGCAGAAAGCGGAAGCCGGGAAUGGGAUCCCGGUGCAAGCGAGGUACCAGCCACAUUGGAAAAACCGUGUGGCAAUGGGAAGACGUGAUGCGGAGCGAAAUAAAGUAGUGAAGUCCGUGAGCUGUGCGUCAAGAAAAGCCGCUAUUGUUCAUACCAUACCCGUACCGUAAACCGACACAGGUGGAUGAGGAGAGAAUCCUAAGGCCGGCGGAAGAAGCAUUGUCAAGGAACUCGGCAAAAUGACCCCGUAACUUCGGGAGAAGGGGUGCCUGUGAAAACAGGCCGCAGAGAAUAGGCUCAAGCAACUGUUUAGCAAAAACACAGGUCUAUGCGAAACCGAAAGGUGAGGUAUAUGGGCUGACGCCUGCCCGGUGCUGGAAGGUUAAGAGGAGAGGUUAGCGCAAGCGAAGCUUUGAAUUUAAGCCCCAGUAAACGGCGGCCGUAACUAUAACGGUCCUAAGGUAGCGAAAUUCCUUGUCGGGUAAGUUCCGACCCGCACGAAAGGCGUAAUGAUUUGAGCGCUGUCUCGACAAUGCAUCCGGUGAAAUUGAAGUACCAGUGAAGAUGCUGGUUACCU